ensembl:lncRNA
CAGAGUUAGACUGAUGAAUACACGAUUGACUGUUUAGCUAACAGAAGUUCCAUUAUCUCUGUUUCAGUCCACCGUACAAGGAUGCGUUCCAGGAGGUGGUCCGGGUGCAGUUGACAAAAGUCAACGUCCGUGGUGUUCUGAGAAUUGAAACAGGAGAUGUGCACAAGCCUCCUUCCUCGGUGUCCUCCCCACCCUGUUCUGGGCGGCUCUCAGAAAUGCUUACUUCUUCUGGAAAACAAUUUCGCACCUCCUGUGAGAUGCUUAUUCCUCUGAAAGUAACGUCCUCUGUCCAUCAAUCUUCCCCCUCAGAAGCCAUCAGCGGCUUCCCGUUGCCCGUUGGAUGAUGGCCAGACUUUGUCUUACGGCAUUCUGCUGAGCCCAGCAAGCACCAACCAUGGCCUUCAUUGGGAUGGUCUGGAAGAUUCUAUUGGACCUUUUCAUGCUAAUGGAAUGGGGGCAGUCUGUCUCUGCAGCUGAAUUCACAGGAAACUCCCUAGGAGCGAGGUCACUGUCAGUUGUGUUUUUUGGAAGUUCUAUUCUCGUCAGGUUCAAGUGCCGGGAAUGGAACAAAGUUCCCAUUCCUUCCCUCAGAUCCCCCAAGCAUAAGUGGAAUCACUGGACUGAACGCACAGACCAUCUUUUCUUCUUCCGCUUCUGCUGCAGAGAAGGAAGUUGCUCAGUUAUUCUCCAAAUUUCUAGCAACAGUUCCCAUAAUGGACCUCGAUCCUUCACUAGGAGGCUGCUUGGCUUGAAAGAAUCCACUGGCUGGUGUUAGAUAUUUGUUUGGACUCAAUAUCCACUCCUUGCUUGUUAAAUAGACUUUGAAGAGUUGUUUAUUCAUUCAGUGGAUAUUUUCUAAGUACUAGCUAUGCACCUGGUACUAUUCCGGGUACACGGGGCUUAGAAAAAAAAGACAAAAAAAAUCCUCUGACUUCAAGGAACUUACACCUUCUUAGGGGAAAGGCAGACAGGCAAAGUAAGUGACCAUGUCAUAAAACAGUGGUCACUAAGGAGAAGUAAUGUGGAGUUCUAGAAGUCAGCAGCUGGUUUUGAUAAACGUCCCUGAGAAGAUAUCAUUUGCAAAAAGACUUGAAGGAAAGGAGAGUGUGACUUGAAGACAUCUGAAGGUGGGACAUUCAGGCAGAAGAAACAACCGGUUGCCGUUGGCAGGAGCAUGUCUGGGGUGUCCUCGGAGGGCACAGAGUCCAGUGCAGCAGAAAUGGAGUGAAGGAGGCGGAAGGUAAGUCGUACGGGUAGCAGAGGCCAAAUGGUACGGGGUCUUUGCAGCUUGUGUAAGGAUUCUUUACUCUAGGCAGGGGACAGGCUACAAGAAGGCUUUGGGCAGAAGUGACAAGACCUCACUCUGAUCCAGUGUGGGAAGAGACUGUAGGAGGCAAGAGGGGGUGCAGGAGACCAGUUAGACACUGCUUCAGUCGGCAGGGCAACCAUGGUGCCUCGGUUCAGUGUGUUCAUCAUGCCAAGUGAAGAGCUUCCGGAAUAACCUGACGUGGUUAGCCAGUUUCAUAAUCUCUACAAUGGGGAGAUAAAACUUGUACUUGGUUAUCUUAAGAACUGACACAACGUAUGUAAAUACGUAUUGCAUGUGUAAUAAGGGGCCAAGAAAUGUUCACUCCUGUUUCAGAGCUUCUCACCUAAAAAGUGACCAUGGGACCAUGAGAACCACGGGCUUUUGCGAGUUCGGUGGUUGUAAAUUUAACUCAAAGAGUUGGAGGCUGCAAUUUAUAAGUCAUAUAUAAUGACUUUAAAAAAUUCACAAGGAACGAUGCUGACAGCCAUAGAGAAGUGAAGGACUUACUUAUGUACAUGAAAUUAUAUUUUUAAAACAGUCCUGGAGUGUAUAAACCGGACUCGUGAUAGCUGUUGUAAUCUGGAAGGUAGAGAAAAGGAAGGAAGGAGGAAAGAAGGUGAGGGAAGGAGGGAAGGCAGAGAGGGACUGUUCGGAGGGAGAAACAAUCAGAUUAACCAUAAUCUACUUUAAGCAGAUGUCAUUUCAUUUGGAAAUACGGCUUUUCGAAUAUUCAUCCAUAGCUAGAUGUUAACUGAAAAUUAUCCACAUAAUUAGUAACAGUUCUAGCUGACAUCAGAAUUGCAUUUUAUAGAUUAUAAGGCCCUCCCACAUACUUGAUGCAUUUAGUUCGCCAAACAACUGUGAACGAUAAUGUGGCAGUUAUGAAAUCUCUGGUUUACAGGUGAGGAAAUGAACAUGCAGAGUUGCUAAAUGAUUUUCCCAAGGUCCCGUGGCAUGAACGCUGCAGGGCUUGGACCCCAAGCUUUGGGGCCUGAGGAUUCAGAUAGCUACUGUUUUCUGAAGCCUCCAUAAGCAUGUCAUGUAAAUUUUCAAUUUAAUAGUAAUUUUGUUCUUUUUAUUUCAUAGGAAACAUAGGGAUUCUAGUCUCACUCUAAAAAUCCAAAAAAUAAGGGAAAGCUAAGCACUCCCUUGAUUUUCUGGCACCUCUUCCCAUGCCCUGUGACCUAUGUCAAGAUGAUUCACCUGCUUUCACUAUUUGGGGUGGCCCUUCUGGACCCUCUCCUGUGCAAUCACACAUGUAUGUUUGUAUCUCUUGGGAUAUGAUUUUAAUCUAUUCUAUUCUUAACGUAAGUAGGAUGAAACUGUUGCCUAGUAGGGUGAGAUUAUAUCUCCUUCUCUAACAAAUAUUUCUCAAUUGUCUUCCAAAAUGGCUAAACCAAUGGCAAUGUUAGGUAAGAAUUUGCUUCGCGUCCACCAAUACUAGCUAUUAAUGGCCAGUUUCAUUUCACCAACCUAAGAGGGAAACGUUUAGUGUUAUUUUAGGUUGUACUUGCUGAAUUACAGGGAAAUUGAGCAUCUUUUUAUGCGUUCAUUGGCUGUAGCAUUUCCUCUUCUGCGUCCUUUGUUAAUUUGUCUUCUGGAUGGUUCGCCUCUAAUUGAUUGCAAGUUCUCUAGAUUUAUCUGGUUCUUAAUUCUUUCUGUUUAAAUGUGUUUCAAGUAGUUUUUCACAGUCUUUCUUGGCCUUUUAAUAUUUUUUAUGGUAUCUUUUCCCAUAUAAAUAAAAUUUUACAUGUUAAUAUAGUCA